AGAAAUGGCAAAGGUGUCAUUAUUUACUAUUCUAGUCCAAGUCCACUUUAAUAGUUUUAAAGUUCACAUAGCACGUCCUGUCACUAAGUCCCAAUCAUAUAAGACCCACGCGAAGGCUGUCUGGCAUGCGCCGUGCCUAAUGGCCCCGUGGUAGUCAACAUCCCCACUCUAGGGAUGAGCCUCUCUCACGGCAAUCCACUUCGGCGCCCAAUCGCUCACGGGCGAGCAUAUGUCGCGAUAGCUAUCUUCGGAGUGCCGGCUUGUAGGGAGCAACCUCACAAGCAUGUGCGAAUGAGCACAAUGGCAAGCAAGCAAUGAUCCGUCUCAAGAACCAAGUCCUCAUGUCUAACAACAUGGAAUAUAUCAAGUAUCUCAAUGGCCUAUCUCUAUGUCAUCAUGUCUCUAACAUGGAAUGUAACAGAUAUGUAGUGGCCUAUCAACAUGUCUCUAUGUUGCAGUUUAAUAGUUUACUAGUUUCAGGUGCCCCUUGAUGACACUUUUGUUCAACGAGUUUCAAGCAUGGCAUUAAUAUGUUCAUGAUGCAUAAUUCACUCAACUCUAACAUGGAGACAUGUUCUCAACUUGCAAAACCAAGCACUAUCCAUAAUGCAUGCAAUCUACACAUAUAGCUCUACUAUAUGGAGUACAAAUUUUACGAUAUAUGAGGCAUGCAUGUUAAGUGUUCUAAAAUUCACAUAAAUCAUAUUUAGCAUGAAUUUGCAUUCAAAAAUACUUUACGAAAAGUUUAGAAGGCAUAGGGGCCAUUUUGCCCUAUUUUCAUGAAGUCAAACCCACCGAUGACAACGAAACUCUUCGUUUGCUCCAACGAGGGUAUCCUCCACACCCCUAGUACCCUAAAGGUAUAAGAACAAGUGUCACAUGAACCAAACGAACAAAACUUAGCUCAAUCAUUAAGCUAAUCACGCAUAGGUGAGGAAAACUCACCUCUAGUGCAAAAAUCUCCUCUAAGGCUUCAAAAGGGAGCUAGAAUCCUUUCAAUCCAAGCCAAAGGAAGAUUCUAAUCCCAACAAUCUAGCCUCAAAAGCCCUAGAUUCAAAAUGCCCAAAAUAAGCCCUAAAACCUCAUUCUAGGGUUUAAUUCCAAAAACAUCAUUAAAGUUAGGAAUUUAGAGAAAAGAACAAGUCAUUUACCUCUAAAAUACUCCAAUCCAAGCUCUAAACCAUCAAAGUCCAAAGAUUUCUCCUUCACCAAGCCUCAAAUCUAAGCUUCUAGCUCCAUCAAUGGUGGAAAAGCAUAAAAGAGGACAGAAAAGGGAUUAAUCCAUCAAAAUCCAUCUACAACGGAGAUCAAAUCCAAGUGGAGCAAGGUGGAGCUCCUCUCACCUUCUCCUCCUCAGGUCCCAGCACAAAAGAAGCCCUAAGGGCGUGGGUGCUGUUAUAGAUAGGCUACAAUCGCGAAAAACCCCCUGCAGUUCAAACUGCACGAAAUCUGCCUCCUUGUACCGGUACACGGGUUCUUGUACCGGUACAAGGCUCACGAAAAUGCAAACCCGAGGCUCGGGUUGUGGGGUACGCGGCUCUGUAUAGGUACAAGCCCGAUGGCUGUACCGGUACAACCAUCAACCUUGUACCGGUACAAGACCAACCUUGUUCCGGCACAAGCUCUGCUGCAGGCUAACCCGAGAGCUGUCCAAUGAAUCUAAUUUUUGGAUUUUUCCAAGCUUUAAACGACAAUUCUCGGGACUCGAACCAUAGGUCGGAACACUGUCAACGACCCACCAGAAAGUCUUGAAAAGUUCAGAACACAGUCAAUCACUCGAACCCCACAAUUUGCGAGGUCCAGCGCGUCACAAUAUCGCAUCGUGUCCGCCUUGAGAUCGAGGCAAACCAGUAACGAAGUCCAUCGCAAUAUCUUCCCAUUUCCAAACGGGUAUUGAUAGACUUUGAAGUUUCCCCGCCGGAAACCAGCGCUCCGUUUUUACUUGUUGGCACGUAAGACAUUGCGCCACGAAUUCCCCAAUAUCUUUCUUUAUGCCCGGCCACCAAUAUUGCACUUUUAGAUAUUGGUACAUUUUAGUGCCGCCCGGGUGUAUGCUAUAGGGAGAUUGAUGCGCUUCUUGCAUAAUCGUCUUGCGGAUACCUUCAUCUCUGGGCACGCACCAACGAUUUCGAAAUCGAAGUGCGCCAUCGGUCCCAAUGCCAAAAUCGUCGGCACUCCCGCUUUCGACUUCACUCCGCAGCUUUUGCAAAUAAGGAUCCGAAACUUGUAACUCUUUGAUCUUCUCCAACAAGGUCGGUUGCACAACUAAUGCGGGAAGUGUGGCCGGCACUCCCAGCGCUACUACUUCUAGACCUAACCGUUGCAUCUCUUUUUGCAACAACGGUUGAGGCGUGAUAGCCAUCGCCAAAUUUUCCAUUGAUUUCCUACUUAGCGCGUCGGCUACGACAUUGGCUUUUCCGGGGUGGUAUAGUAUAGUGACAUCGUAGUCCUUUAGUAACUCCAACCACCGUCGCUGUCGCAUGUUCAAUUCCUUUUGGGUGAACAAGUAUUUGAGACUUUUAUGGUCCGUGUAAAUCUCACAAUGCUCACCGUACAAGUAAUGCCUCCAUAACUUAAGCGCGAAGAUCACCACAGCUAACUCCAAGUCAUGAAUCGGGUAAUCAUUUUCAUAACUCUUUAGCUGGCGCGAAGCAUAAGCUAUCACUCGGCCACUUUGCAUUAAAACACACCCGAGACCCACAUACGAGACAUCACUGUACACUACAAACGUUUCCCCCGGAGUUGGCAAGGCAAGCACCGGGGUCGACGUCAACUUGUUCUUCAAUUCUUCAAAGCUCCGAUCGCAAUCGUCGCUCCACACGUACUUUACUCCCUUGUGGGUGAGGCACGUUAGUGGAGUGGUUAUUUUAGCGAAACCCUGCACGAACUACCGGUAGUAGCCCGCGAGUCGAAGAAAACUACAGACCUCCGCUACACUUGUCGGGCGAGGCCAAUCCUUAAUUGCCUCCACUUUCUUUAGGUCUACCGAGACUCCAUCGCCCGAUAUCACAUGGCCCAAGAAUGUGACCUCCGUGAGCCAAAAGUCACAUUUCUUCAACUUAGCAUAUAGCUUCACUUGUCAAAGUAUUUGUAACACGGUUCUCAAAUACUCCUCGUGUUCCUCCUCACUCGUCGAAUAGACCAACACGUCGUCUAUGAAUACCAUGACGCACCGGUCCAACAACGGGCGAAAGAUUCGAUUUAUCAAGUCCAUAAACGCUGCCGGGGCAUUAAUAAGCCCAAACGGCAUUACCGUAAACUCAUAAUGGCCAUACUGCGUAUGGUACGCCGUUUUGUGCACAUCGUUCAGCCUAAUCUUUCAUUGAUGAUACCCCGAUUGGAGAUCGAUCUUUGAGUACACCUUUGACCCUUGCAACUGAUCAAAUAGAUCAUCAAUCCUUGGCAACGGGUACUUGUUCUUGAUCGUUACUUUGUUCAACUCGUGAUAAUCUACGCAGAGUCGAAGUGUACCAUCUUUCUUCUUAACAAAUAGCACCGGAGCUCCCCACGGUGACAUGCUCAGCCUCACGAAGUCUUUAUUGAGCAAAUCCUGUAGUUGUGCUUGUAACUCCACUAGCUCCACCGGUGCCAUUCUGUACGGAGCCUUCGAAACUAGCACCGUCCCGGGAAUCAAGUCAAUAACGAACUCGACUUUUCGAUCCGGUGGCAGUCCCAGUAACUCUGCCGGAAACACAUCCGGAAAGUCACACGCGACUCGGAUAUUCUCAAGUUUCGGGUGCUCCUUUUGUGCAUCAACGAUUGUCACCAAAUAGGCCCUACAUCCACCUUUGAUCAUUUUCCUCGCCCACGCCGCCGAUAUGGUUGCCGAGAAGCGCUUGCUUUUACACGCGCGGUACACCCACUCUUCUUGGUUAGGCUCACGAAAUGUGAUCACCUUACUUUCACAAUCUAUGACCGCGUAGUACUUGGAGAGCCAGUUGAUCCCCAAGAUUACGUCGAAUCCCUAUAUUUUGUCUAGCACUAGUAGGUCAAUCGGCAUAAUCUAAUCACCUAUUUGAAUUGGACAAGCCAAACACUCAUAAUGCACACUUAACGAAUGUUUUGGGGCACUCACUGUAAUACAUUGGAUCUUAGCAAAUUGCAAGAUUCGAGUGUUUGAUUUGUGAGUGGAGCCUUUCCACAGUUUUUGGGAGGGCCGUUGAUAGUGUUCCGACCCCUGGCACGCACCCCGAGGAUGUUGGUUUGAAACUUGGUACCAAAAUCCAAAAAUUGGAUUCAUUGGACAGCUCUCGGGUAGCCUGCAGCAGAGCUUGUACCGGAACAAGACUGGCCUUGUACCGGUACAAGGGUUGAUGGUUGUACCGGUACAGCCAUCGGGCUUGUACCGGUACAGAGCCGCAGACCGCGCGACCCGAGCCUCGGGUUUGCAUUUUCGUCGGCCUUGUACCGGUACAGGAGCCCGUGUACCGGUACAAGGAGGCAGUUUUUGUGCAGUUUGGUCUGCAGGGGGUUUUUCGCGAUUGUGGGCUUUUUAUAACAGCACCCACGCCCCUUAGGGCUUUUUUUGUGCUGGAACCAGAGGAGAGGAAGGUGAGUGAAGCCCCACCUUGUCCCAUUUGAUUUUGAUCUCCAUUUUGCUUGGUUUUUGAUGGAUUUUCUUCUCUUUUGCCCUUUGGUGCCAUUUCCACCAUGGAUGAAGCCUCAAGCUUGGAUUUGGAGCUAAGUGGAGGAUAGAUCUUGGGAUUUAAAGGAUUUAGAGCUUGAUUUGAAGCUUCUAAGAGGUAAGCAUUACAUUAUCUUCCUCUAGAUUUGAGUUUUAUUGGAUUUCAUGAGAUGAAACCCUAGAUUGUGAUAUUAGGGUUUAUUUUGGGUAUUUUGAAUCUAGGGCUUUUGAAGCUAGAUUGAGUGGAUUAGAGGCUUCCAUUAGGUUGGAUUGGAUGAGCCCUAGCUUCAUUUUGGAGCUUUAGAGGAGAUUUUUGCACUAGAGGUGAGUUUUCCUCACCUAUGCUUGAUUAGCUUAAUGUUUGAGCUAGGUAUUGUUCGUUCGGCUCGUAUGACACAUGUUUCUAUACCUCUAGGGUACUAGGAGACUAGAGGACACCCUCGUGGGAGCGCACGAGGAGUUUCGUUGUCAUCGGUGGGUUUGGCUUCGUGGAAAUGGGGCGAAAUGGCCCCUAUGCUCUUUCUACUUGUUGUAAAAUAUUUUUAAAUUCAUUUCUAUGCUAAAUGGAAUUUAUAUGAAUUUUAGAGCACUUAAAAUGCAUGCCUUGUGUAUUAUGAAAAUUUCACUAUAUAGUAGAGCUAUAUGAGUAGAAUGCAUGCAUACGGGAAAAAUGUUUAUUUUGCAAGUGAGAAAUACAUCUCUUAUGAGGAUUAUGACUUGGAAUAUGUACUUUGGAACAUAGUUGCCAAGUUUUGACAUAGAGAGCAAGAGUGUCAUAAAGGGGCACUUGAAACUAGUAAACUAUGAAACUGCAACAUAGAGACAUAGUGAUAGGCCACUACAUAUUUGCUAUAUUUCAUGUUAGAGACAUGAUGACAUAGGGAUAGGCCAUUGAGAUACUUGACACAUUCCAUGUUAUUAGACAUAAGGACUUGGUACUUGCGACAGAUCGUUUGACUACUUGCCAUUGUGCUCAUUCGCACAUACUUGUGAGGGUCGCUCCCUACAAGCCGGCACUCCGAAGAUGGCCAUCGCGAUUCAUAUUCGCCGUGCGGGAUUGGCCGCCGAAGUGGAUUGCCGUGGGACAGGCUCAUUCCUAGGGUGGGGAUGAUGACUACCUCGGGGCCAUUAGGCUCGGCACCGGCCAGACAGCCUACGGGUGGGUCUCAGGGCCAUAGACAGCCUUCGGGUGGGUCUCUUCAGAUUUGACUUUGAGUAUUCAUUAUGACAUGUGGACAGAUGAUGACUUAGUGUACUACUUGGACAUUGACUAGAAUAGUAAACAACGGAACUUUACUAUUUCGCAUUGUGAACAUUAUGAUAGUUGGAGACUUUUACUUCAUGCAUAGUUGCUUUCAUACUUAUGCUAUUUAUGCUAAGUAGAGAUAUCAUGUCGUAGUAAGUUACAUUUUUACUUACCUUUCGCCUUUCUACUUUUAUAGUCACUGACAUCUUUUGUAGCUUUGGGCCUUGUGGUGCAUUCACUGAAGUCAGUAAUUGCCCACUGGGAACUAUUUUUAAUAGUUCUCACGCCCCCGUUUUAUGGUUUACUUUUUAGAGCCUUCGGCACCGGCGGAGGCACGGGAUCGCGGCAAGGGGAUCGCGUAGCUAGCUAGCGAGGAGCGGUAUAUGCCUAGGUGGUUUACUCUUUCUUUUUGUAGUUGAGAGAGUGAGAGAUUUCUGUAUCCAUGUAUAGAGACCACCUAUGUACCUACCUAUAGCACUUAUAUUUGGAGAUUCCUAUUGUAUUUACUUUAUAUUUUACUUAGUGGAUUUACAGUUAUCCUCAUUCCUUGCUGUAGCAUUUAGACAUUUAUUAUGCUCUGAUACUCCUAGAUGUCUUUUAUUAUCGCUUUUAUUAUUGUUGUUUUUAGACGCCUUAUGCGUUUUAGACGUAUGGCGGGUCUGGGCACGUGCCGGGCGGGCUUCCGCUGGGUCCCGGGGCGUGACACUCACCCACCAACAAACCUCGUUAUAAGACACCUCUAUACCAUGAGUUCGAGCAAAUGAUGCGCUAAUGAAUGAAUGAGUUGCGCCUGUAUCAAAACAAAGCUUUAGCUCUAAUGCCCUUAAUCAAAAUUAUACCUGCCACAACAUCAUCUAGUGCUACAGGCUCCUCCUCCACCUGAGUGACGAAAACCCAGCCACUAGGUGCUCGCGAUCCCUCCGGCUGACGCGGCACUGGUACGCGUCCAGCCGACAUAGCCGGUGGCAACCCCGCAAGCUGUCUUGGGAAAGACAGAACUGAUGCCGCCGUCGGUGCAGUCGACCCCAAUCCCGGACACUCCCGGAUAAGGUGUCUCGGUUGGCCGCACUUGAAGCACUUUUCUUCACGUGGCAGGCACAUCGCCGGUCAGUGCUCACCGCCGCAUAUGAUACAUCGAGGCGAUCUCCAACCCCUCGACUGCUGUCCAAGAUACCGAGGGGUUUCUUAGCAUUUGGCCCGCCGCCGGCACCACCCGCCGCCCGCUUCUUGCUCUUGUCCUUCAACUCGGCCAUAGCCUCUCGUUCCUCUCGCACGUGGGCAUCACCAUGCUUUGCCCAUAAUGCUCGGUCGAAGACCUCAGCAAAGGUCGUCAGCUUGAAUAUCUGCACAGCCCUAUAAAGUCCUGGCCGAAGCCCUCGCAAGAACCAAUUGGCCCGAUCCCGAUCGUCUCGAACCACAUCCGGGACGAAAUCGAUUAUGUGGGAGAACUCCUGCUCGUAGUCCGCUACCGAGCGGUCUCCUUGUCUUAGCUUGCGAAACUUUUCUUGCAGCUUCCGCUUUACAGUGUCGGGGAAGUAGUUCGCGAAUACCGCUCUCUUGAACUCCUCCCAUUGCAUAGGCGGAAGAUCGGCGGAUCGAUCCCGCUUUACUCGCUUCCACCACACCUCCGCCGCCUUCUCGACGCAAUGGGUGGCGAGGUGCACUUUAUCCUUCUCCAAGGUGUAUAUAUCCUCGAAGAGCGUUUCCAUCGAGUCAAUCCAUGCCUCCACCAUCUCCGGCUCCACCUUGUCCCCUUCAAUGAUAGGUGGGUUGAACUUCUUAAACAUCACGAGAGCCGCCAAUGCACGCUCCCGCUCCGCCUCUAUAGCUGCAUCAUCAGGAUUUGAGAUUCCCAAACCGGCCGGUACCAUCGUGACUGGCAAGCCCGCCCGGCGCGUGCCCAGACCCGCCAUAUGUCUAAAACAUACAAGGCGUCUAAAACAAAUCAAUAAAUAAAGCAGUAGAACAAAGGAAUCUAACGAUAUUAGAGCAAAGUAAAUAACUAUGUUCUACAACAGAGGGGUAAGUAUAAAACUAAAAUCCACUAAUAGAGGCAUAAAGUAGUACAAAGAAAAUCCCAAAUACAAAAACUAAACAUAAAGAGUAUAUAAGUGGUUUCUCUAUACAUGGUACUCAAAAUCUCUCUCUCUCUCUUUCUAAUACAAUAAAAUAAAGAGUAAACCAUCUAAGCUCAAAAGUAGCUCCCCGCUAACUAGCUACGCGACUCCCUUGCCGCGAUCUCGUGCCUACGUCGGUGUCGAAGGCUCUGAAAUAAACCAUAAAACAGGGAGCGUGAGAACUAUUGAAUAAUAGUUCCCAGUGAGCAAUUACUGACUUCAGUGAAAUGCGCCACCAGGCCCAAAAGCUACAAAAGAGGAUCAAUAUAAGUAUAAACGAAAGCGAAAUAAUGAACGAUUAUGGAACCAUGAGUACUAUUCUACCAUGAUAUCUCUACUUAGCAUGAACUGCAUAACUAAUAAAGCGACUACAACAAGUAUGUUCAUGAAUGUGAUUAACCUGUAUAAGCAUGAGUAUGCAACCAACACGAUGUCCUCGAUGCAAAUAGUAAAAAUGUCAUUAUUUACUAUUUAGUCAAUGUCCACUUGGCAUGACGAACGCUCCAAAAUGAAAUCUGAAGAGACCGGCCCGAAGGCUGUCUGGCCCUGAGACCCACCCGUAGGCUAUCUGGCCGGUGCCGAGCCUAAUGGCCCCGUGGUAGUUAACAUCCCCACUCUUGGGAUAAGCCUUUUCCACGCAAUCCACUUCGGCGUCCAAUCCCGCACGGCGAAUAUAUAUCGCGAUGGCUAACUCCGGAGUGCCGGCUUGUUGGGAGCGACCCUCACAAGCAUGUGCGAAUGAACACAAUGGCAAGUAACGAAAGAUCCGUCUCAAGUGCUAAGUCCUCAUGUCUAACAACAUGGAAUAUGUCACAACUCUCUCAUAGGCCUAUCUCUAUGUCAUCAUGUCUAAAACAUGGAAAGUAGUAGAUGUCCAUGGCUUAUUUCUAAGUCUCAAAGCAAUA
rnacentral:lncRNA from 1 species